UUGAUGAUACACGUUCUUCCGAGGCA
rnacentral:piRNA from 1 species